AAAUUAUUUUAAUAAAAUUAAUUAAAUUUUAACUUUAAUUAAUACUUC
rnacentral:tRNA from 1 species